AUUGAACGCUGGCGGCAUGCCUAACACAUGCAAGUCGAACGGCAGCACAGUCGUAGCAAUACGAUGGGUGGCGAGUGGCGGACGGGUGAGGAAUGCAUCGGAAUCUGCCCGAUCGUGGGGGAUAACGCAUCGAAAGGUGCGCUAAUACCGCAUGAGAUCGAGAGAUGAAAGCGGGGGACCGCAAGGCCUCGCGCGAUCGGAUGAGCCGAUGCCGGAUUAGCUAGUUGGCGGGUAAAGGCCCACCAAGGCGACGAUCCGUAGCUGGUCUGAGAGGAUGAUCAGCCACACUGGGACUGAGACACGGCCCAGACUCCUACGGGAGGCAGCAGUGGGGAAUAUUGGACAAUGGGCGCAAGCCUGAUCCAGCAAUGCCGCGUGUGUGAAGAAGGCCUUCGGGUUGGUAAGCACUUUAUUCGGAGCGAAAGACGGA
rnacentral:rRNA from 1 species